AAAACCUUUAACUAAGUCCAGAGAGGCUUGCAAGGAUACGGAAAAUUUAAUUUGGUUUACUGACAGCUUAAAGAUGAACUUUUUUAGCGCAUUUAUUCUGUCAGUAAAUUACCAGUUUUUUAGUACACUUGUAAGUUCUCUUACAAGUGUUUUUUUGU
rfam:Lactococcus lactis subsp. lactis Il1403, complete genome.